GGCGAAUAUCCUCAAUUGCGCUGCCCAUGCUAAAACUUUAAGGCACUAAAGUCCUCUUUCACCUUUGGAUUUGUUUUGUCUUAACCCUACAACAAGGGCUUUUUCAUAUCGUUUUUAAAUGUGCACAUGCUUUUCUCCUUUGAAAAUACAACAGCUGAUUCAAAGGGUGUAUGGCAGGUAUCAAAAGUCUUCCACGGUAGGAUACACUUGUGCUUCCUCACCAAAAGGAGGCUAUCAAGGAGGGGAGGACAAUCUUCUGUUUAGCAUACUCCUCAACCAUUUAUCAAUUUACAGGUGACGGAGGAGAGCGGAUGGAGGACAGACUUUUGCCCAAAUGAGAAAAUGACAGGGAAUCAGUACAGUGGAAUUUUGGGAGAUUCUCAAUUGGUUUGAUCAACUCUUCUGUCCUCUCCUCACCUCCUUUUGAAAAAGGUUUCCUGAUCACAGAGGAGACAGGACGAAGGAGUCAAGGAGAGGACAGUCUUUUUCUCAAAAAAAGGACGACGACGACAACAACAAUAGUCGGGAUGAAAAACUAAGCAGCGAGAAUUUUGGGGAGAUUUAAAGAAUUUUACUUUACAAAUAUAAGUGGGAAAGCCAAACUCAAAGCCUAAUGCAGAGGGAUAAUGAGCAGUAGAGCACCUAAGCCAGAGUCACCUGGUAUCGCCUGCUGAGACUCCCUGGCAAUGAGGUGGAGGAGAUUGUCCCUAACUACCUUUUGACCUGUCACCUUUUCAAUCAGUUAAGUAAAAAACAAUGUAGAUUGUUCCAAAAGAGAUAAUUCCAAAAGAUAAUGUAAGGGAGAAACUGAUUGCAUCAGUGGCACUCAUAAGAUUACCAGUGUUGGGGAGUAGUUUACUACAUAUAGUUCAACUAGUAAUUAAACUAGUUUGCAGUAGCUUGGUUUAAAUCUACAUCGUGUUUUCAGUAGAUAAUUACUUUUUUGCUAAAAUAAAAUAUGGGUGAAGUAGGCAAGAAUGUCCUUUAUUUUCAGGCAUUUUCAGACCAGCCUAAUUCUCCCUUGAAACAUUGCUUUUGUGUUUAAUAGCAUAAAUUACACAUUAUGUUAUUGCAUUUUGUAUUCGAUGACAUUUCAGAUUUAGAUUUUCACGAAGUAGUCAAAGUAGCUUUAGUUAAGUAAAAGGUAGCUUUAGUGUAGCUUAUUAACUUCUUCCAGUGUGUAGGAAUUGGUAGCUUGGUAAACUAUAUUUUCAGAGUAGCUUUCCCAACACCCAUAUUUAGGGGUUCACAGCGAGGCUGUCAAACCUAUUUUUAUUCUUAGAU
ensembl:lncRNA